rnacentral:rRNA from 1 species
AGGUUAAGGGGAUCUGUUAGAGCAAUCGAAGCAGUGAACUUAAGCCCCAGUAAACGGCGGCCGUAACUAUAACGGUCCUAAGGUAGCGAAAUUCCUUGUCGGGUAAGUUCCGACCCGCACGAAAGGCGUAACGAUUUGGGCACUGUCCCAACAACAGACUCGGUGAAAUUGUAAUUCCGGUGAAGAUGCCGGAUACCUGCGACAGGACGGAAAGACCCCAUGGAGCUUUACUGUAGCUUGACAUUGGGUCUUGGUACUACAUGUACAGGAUAGGUGGGAGGCUUUGAAACCAGGACGCCAGUUUUGGCGGAGCCAUCCUUGGGAUACCACCCUUGUAGUACUGGGACUCUAACCAUAGGCCAUGAAUCUGGUCUUGGGACACUGUCAGGUGGGCAGUUUGACUGGGGCGGUCGCCUCCCAAAAGG